UGUGUGGAAGUUCCGGAGCAGAUCUUGGAAGUAGUAGCAUCAUUUGUAUGUGCCAAUGGAGGCGGGUUUGUCCUUUUAAUAGAAGGAAGUGAUACGAGCCUAGUAAAAGGGAAUAUAGUAGAUAUUCUAUAUAGAUGUACCUAUGUGGCGACACGACAGCGACCCCAACGACGUGUGCCGGUGAGAAUUUUCCGGGACACCCAGAUCUUAUGAGCGUCACGCUGAGACUAAGAACGAGUUGGGCGGUGAAAAUGAAGGAACAUCCUCGUACCGAACCGCAACAGGACUCCUAGGUGAGAAGCCUAAGGCAUAAUUGUAAUGUGAGCAAGGGAAAUCGGCAAAAUGGAUGAAAAACCUCGGGAUAAUCAUUGGCUCUAGCAUGCUAGAACUGGGCUUACAAGGGGAAUCUGACUGUUUAAUAAAAACAUAGCUUUGUGUGUACGCAAAGUGAAUUCUGCCCAGUGCUUGGGACGUUAAGGAAGUAAUUUUAAGUACGCACCUGUAAACGGCGGGAGUAACUAUGACUCUCUUAAGGUAGCCAAAUGCCUCGUCGCCUAAUUAGCGACGCGCAUGAAUGGAGCAACGAGAUUCCCACUGUCCCUGCUCACAGAUUUGCGAACCUACAGCCAAGGGAACGGGCUUGGGACAUGCAGCGGGGAAAGAAGACCCUGUUGAGCUUGACUCUAGCCAAGCACAGGCCUCUGUGACUAUAUCGUAGCGAGGUGGGAGAAAUGUGUGAGACCACUGACAUAGUCGGCGGGGGCACUCGCAAAGCUUGGUGGGGAGUUUGGCUGGGGCGGCACGACUACUAAAACAUAACGUAGACGUCCAAAGGUAAGCUCCGAGGGGAUGGAAACCACUCCGAGAGUAUAAGGGCAAAAGCUUGCUUUAGUUAUUAAUGUAAAUUAAUAAUACUGGAAACAGGGGCCUAGAGAUCCUCUAUGAAACUAAGCAUAGAGGUGACGGAAAAGUUACCACAGGGAUAACUGGCUUGUGGCGGCCGAGCGUCCAUAGCGACGCCGCUUUUUGAUUCUUCAAGGUCGGCUCUUCCGAGCAUGGGGGAAUAUCAGCCACCAAGUGGUGUGAUUGUUCACCAACUUACAAGGGAACGUGAACCUGGGUUUAAACCGUCCCGAGAAAGGGUAAUUUUUACCCUACGGCAUUCCCUU
rnacentral:ncRNA from 1 species